rnacentral:rRNA from 1 species
UUAUACCGCGAAACUGCGAAUGGCUCAUUAAAUCAGUUAUCGUUUAUUUGAUAGCACCUUACUACUUGGAUAACCGUGGUAAUUCUAGAGCUAAUACAUGCUGAAAAUCCCGACUUCGGAAGGGAUGUAUUUAUUAGAUUAAAAACCAAUGCCCUCCGGGGCUCACUGGUGAUUCAUGAUAACUUCUCGAAUCGCAUGGCCUUGCGCCGGCGAUGGUUCAUUCAAAUUUCUGCCCUAUCAACUUUCGACUGCUGGGUCUUGGCCAGCAAUGGUGACAACGGGUAACGGAGGGUUAGGGCUCGACCCCGGAGAAGGAGCCUGAGAAACGGCUACUACAUCCAAGGAAGGCAGCAGGCGCGCAAAUUACCCAAUCCCGACACGGGGAGGUAGUGACAAUAAAUACUGAUACAGGGCUCUUUUGGGUCUUGUAAUUGGAAUGAGUACAAUUUAAAUCCCUUAACGAGGAACAAUUGGAGGGCAAGUCUGGUGCCAGCAGCCGCGGUAAUUCCAGCUCCAAUAGCGUAUAUUAAAGUUGUUGCAGUUAAAAAGCUCGUAGUUGAACCUUGGGCCUGGCCGGCCGGUCCGCCUCACCGCGUGCACUGGUUCGGCCGGGCCUUUUCCUCUGGCGAGCCCCAUGCCCUUCACUGGGCGUGUGGGGGAACCAGGACUUUUACUUUGAAAAAAUUAGAGUGUUCAAAGCAGGCCUAUGCUCGAAUACAUUAGCAUGGAAUAAUAGAAUAGGACGUGCGGUUCUAUUUUGUUGGUUUCUAGGACCGCCGUAAUGAUUAAUAGGGACAGUCGGGGGCAUCAGUAUUCAAUUGUCAGAGGUGAAAUUCUUGGAUUUAUUGAAGACUAACUACUGCGAAAGCAUUUGCCAAGGAUGUUUUCAUUAAUCAGGAACGAAAGUUAGGGGAUCGAAGACGAUCAGAUACCGUCGUAGUCUUAACCAUAAACUAUGCCGACUAGGGAUCGGACGAUGUUAUUUUUUGACUCGUUCGGCACCUUACACGAAAGUACAAGUU